rnacentral:rRNA from 1 species
GUGCCAGCCGCCGCGGUAAUACCGGCAGCCCGAGUGAUGGCCGAUCUUAUUGGGCCUAAAGCGUCCGUAGCUGGCUACGCAAGUCCGUCGGGAAAUCCAAUCGCCCAACGGGUGGGCGUCCGACGGAAACUGCACACCUUGGGUCCGGAAGGCUCGAAGGGUACGGCCGGGGUAGGAGUGAAAUCCUGUAAUCCCGUCCGGACCACCGAUGGCGAAAGCACUUCGAGAAAACUGAUCCGACAGUGAGGGACGAAAGCUAAGAGCGCGAACCGGAUUAGAACCCUGGUAGUCC